GUUAUAUUGGCAGAGAAGUGCGGUGGGUUUAGAAUUCAUGAAUGUAAGUGAAUUAUACAUAUAAUA
rnacentral:tRNA from 2 species